CUUUGUGUUCUUUUUUGAAACAAAAACAAAUAAAAAAAUCCUAAGGACUUAACACAAAAGACCCUAAGGAUUAAUAAGCAAAAUAAACAAAAUAUAAACCUAGACCUAGGUUGUACAAUAAAAGGGACCUAAAAAUACAAAGGGGGGUAAGUCUGAAAAUCAGCUGCGCAACUGAGGACCUGAAGGAUGCCCCCUCUUGGACUCUUUUCUUCUUCGGAAAUGCCCACUUAUAACAUCAUUCACAUCUACUUCUUCACCAUAAGAAGAAUGGGACCUAAGCUAAUACACGCCUCCACCCCAAAGAAUCCCGCUGUAAAAGCACACAUAUACAAAAAAUAAGAUUUGGGAACGAACAAGAGCAAAAGAAAAGCUGUCUAGCCAUGGAACCUCUGUUUCUCACCCCAAAUACCCAGCAAAAAUGAGUUAGAAAUAACCGCAAAACGUACCUCCCUCAGCUUGAAAGCUGAAAACGUGGCCAAAUAAAUCAGCCCCAAACUAAACUAAAAUCAGCCGAAAAACGCAGCAAAAUCCACUUCAAAACACCACAGCCAAUCUGCUAAAUAGCCGCUAAAAACGUAUCAAAAUAUCCCUUCAACCUUGCUGAAAUUUAGCUCCAAAAUAGCUUCAAAUUCAGCUGUAGUUCAGUCCAUGAACCAAUUAAUCAGAUCUUAAAUCACCACAAAGAUAGACAAGGUCGAUUUCGCCGUCGCUGUUUUCCGGCCAUGGUCACUGGUAUUUGGUCUGUUUGUUGAUUUGCAAACCUUUGAAGUUCAGAUUUCAGUUUCAAAAGGUUCAUUCUUCUUCCCCUUCUAUGGUUUGCACUAUUAUUUUGUGUAUUGCGAUGGAUUACUCCUUGAUAUUAUUUCUUUUAUGAUAAUUUUUGUGUUAUUAAAUUUAUAAUCAAAAUUCUUAGACUUGCUUAGCUGCAAUUAUUUUAGUACUAUUUCUCUACUACCGUUCACUAGGCUGAGGACACGAUGCCUCUUCAUUUAAUCUAAAAUUUGACAUUUUAUUUUAAUGGUUAUAAUUUGAUUAUCUUGGGAUCACGUAUUUGAUAUCUUCCCUCUAUAUGAAUAGCACCUCUUUGAUUCUUAGAUUUGUCAAAUAUAAUCUUUUAUGUUCACAAAUACAUAGGAUGAUUUUGAAGGCGUAAUUCUCUAUUUAUUUAGCUAAUUUUUAGUCACAAAAGGGAGUAUAACAAUAUUUCCUUCAAGUACUCAUUGGAAUCCUUUUCUUGAAACUUUGAAUGCAAAUUUUGUGAUAAGUAUUUUGUUUCUUCUAUAAACUUUGCGCGGAAUUUGGAGUAUUCUAGUGUUCUGUCCUCUUAUCAAUAUUUUUGAACAUGUUCCAUUUAGUUACAAAUUAACCUUAGAAUUCGAGGCGUGCUAUUUAGCAAAAUGUCAUGGUCCUCGCAAAAAUAAAAAUGCGUAAUUGCUUUAUGCGCGUUAUUUAAAUAACUUACCUUCCUAAAUUUGGGUGCGUAUUUAUAUGACCAAAAUCUAAAUCUCAAUGUUAAAAUAUAUCAAAGACCGUGGGUGUAUUUAUAUGAUGUGGUCCAAGACGCGUUUUAAGAACGUUGCAUUCUUCUUAAAAUUGAAUAAAGGCGGUCAUAAGUUAAAAUUUGCAUAUAGGUUCAUAAUUGUAAAAAUCAGAUAAUUAAGCCAAUUAUAACAGUUAAGCGAUCAUGCUAGAACCACGGAACUCGGAAAUGCCUAACACCUUCUUCUGUGUUAACAAAAUUCCUUACCUAAAUUCCUGGCUCACAUACUGUAUUACAGAGUCAAACCUUCCUCGAUUCGGGAUUUUAAACCGGUGACUUAGGACACCAUUUGUUAUCCCAAGUGGCUGACACUGAAUUUUUAAAUAAAUAAAGCUCGUUUCGAUUGUCACUUUAAUUGGAAAAAAACUCCCAUCUACGCCCUUCGUAGGGUGUAGUAAAAAAGAAGGUGUGAUAGCUCUGUGACUCUGCUGUGGAUCAGAACCUAGAAUUUCUGGUUCAGGGUUCAAAAUUCGAGCUUAGAAUAAUUGUUAUAAUUGAAUUUGUUUAUUAUCUGGUUUUAUUGCAUGUUUGAGCCUAAUGUGUUAAAUGCUGCUUUUUACCGCUUUGAUACUAUUUGAACUAUAUAUAAAACUGCUAGGAAACCCUUCUCUUCUCAUCUUUGGGGAUGUGCUCGCUGGUCGAGACUCCCUAUUCUGUUAGUGUCAUACCUUGAAAUAAGAAAGUGGCUCGGACAAGUUACUAAGCCGGAUGACCUUUUGAUUUCCAGUACGUAGCCCCCUCCCCGGCUCGAGUUGUCUGCUCCAGUACACAGUCUAGAACACAUACCCAGGUUUUGAACUUAGAAUAACUCAGCCUCAUGUCGAAUCCCUAGUAGGAACGUUUGUUUACAUCAUGUGCAUUUGACUUAGGGGACUCAACACAGGGGUUGGGUCCGUCUAGGACAAGUGUACCCAGAUUAAAAACCAUUCUCAUGCAUCUUACAUGCAUAUCUAUCUAUUCGGCUUGCAUAUUGACCGACUUCUAGAGUUGGGAAGAAAAUAAAAAACAAAGAAAAAAAGGAGAGGUAGAUAUUUACAAAAUUUUGUAAUUCUGCCGAAACUGUAAAAAAAAAAAAGAAAAGUCAUUUCUAAAUAAGUCAUAUUUUCCCGUUGUGUCAAAUUUGGGCAGAACUACGCGGUCUGCUUCUCGCUGGAUGUGAGAUACGUAGGCAAACCUCAUCGGUUCCGGCCCCCAAUUUUCAAAAAUUCAAAAAAAAUUCUUUUACUUCAUUCUUUAGAAAAGUUUUUCUUUGAGACUCCAAUUUCUAAAAAUAAAAAAAGUAUUUUCUUCUAAUUUCUUUUUAUAAAAAAUACAAAAAUAUUUUCAUUCUUCUUUCGAAAAUUAAAAAAAAAAUUCAAGAUUUAAAAAUACAUUCUUUUCUUUAGAAGUACUUCUUUCCUAACUUCAGAAUAAAAAUCCAUAAUUGCAAAAAUAUUUUUCUUUCUUCUUUAUAAGUUUUUCUUUCGAAAUUCAAAAACUAAAACAAUAAAAAGUCAAAAUUCAAAAACAAAAGGAAAAAAUAUUUCUUCUUUUGAAGUCUUUCUUUACAAAAAUGCUGAAGAAAAAUCAAAUUCCCAAAAUAUUUUCUUUCUUCUUUAUAAGUCUUUCUUUAGGAAAUUAAAACAUUCAAAAAUCCAAAAAAAAAAGAUUUAGUUUAUUUCUUUUAUUCCGAAUCUUUCCGAACUAUGCAAGAUCUGAUUCAUGCAAAGUCAUGAUAUGCAAGCAACCUACAUCAGGUUCGAUCGAAGUUGAAAAAAAGGGGAAAAGAAAAAAAAGAAAAAACCAAAAAAACGAGAAAGGAAAGAAACAAAAAAUGGGAAAAAAGAAAGAGAGUGUUUAUUCUAAUAUGCUUGUUGCUUUAAAUAAAAGCUAGUCAAAGGUUGUCGUUUGUUGGUUUGCAAUGGCGAGCAAAAGAAAAAAAAUUCAAGAUAUCUCGGAAAUAAAGGCAUCUUCUCAACCAAUGGAGUAAGCACCAUUGUUGUUGAUCCAAAGUCACGAAAGGGCAACUAGGCAAGUUGGCGGCGAAAAAUUAGAAGUGGACGCAAAUGUGGGGUUGACUUUACCAGAUUUGAGCAAUAAAACAUGAACUGCUCGAGAUGAUUUUCAAAAUUUGAGUGUUGAAUCAAAAGCAAUCAAAACGGUCAAAUGUCGUAGUAAUGGUGAUGUGCGAAUGUGUGGCUAAGAUGUCGCGUAGUAACUGAAAAGUCAGCCUCCUUUAACCAUGGUAGUUUAUUUUUGUCAUCUUUUCUUCUUCUUUUGUAUUAUCAGACCCUGCUAUCCUUCAUUCAAUAAAAAUAAAGCCAGUUAUUUUGUGUCCAUUUUGUACAUAAUUUUUUUCACGUUAGUUUUAGUGACAUAACAUGCAUGCAGAAUUUUUGGCCAGAUCUUAGAAAACUGAUUAAAAAAAAGUUUUGAAUUGCAUAAGUGAGAAAGAGACACUUUUGAAGAAGAAUAGACACGUGAAACAUUUGAUAAAUAAGCAUGAGCUAAGUUUACAUGGAACCAAUGUAGUCAUGCUCGUGGAAGUUAAGGAUCUCUACCUUUUGAAUCAUUUGAGAAGAUCAGGCUUAAGAAUAAUUGGAUGGGCUGAAAUAUGUUUAGCACUAGGAAAUAGAAAGUGUUUUCAAUAGAAGGUGUAUUCUAGAAAACUUGAAAUGGAUCAAUCGGUGGCAAAAUGCAUCUUCUACAUCAAGACAAAAUACAAGAAAAGUCACCCAAAUUGACACGGGUCAUUCGCAGCGGAAAGUAUUGCUCAUACAGCUUUACGCUGAAACUGACCCAAGAAGACAUGCAUGUUCAUCAAUGAUGUGAUUGCGGAAAGAUGCUAUAAUUAGCAUUCUCGAGGUUGAGAGGCCCUUUUUCUAUUACCCAAACACUUUAUAUCCUUCGCCACCUCUUUUGAGCCUGUUUUAUUUUCUUUGAUCACCCUCUCUUGGAAUCAAUUUUAGAGUCAAGAGUCAAAAAAAAAAACGAAAUGAAAAAAAAAAUAAAAAGAAAGAAAAUUCAUGUCCCAAGAGUAUAAACUGAGGCAACUAGAAAAUUCUAAGUGAAAAAGAAGAAGAAAAGAAUCGUCAAAGGUCCAUGCCCUCAAAAGAGAAGCUGGGGAAAACAAGAAAAAAAAGAAAAAGAAAAGAAAAAAAAAGAAAAAAAGGAAAAAGAAGAAAAGGAAAGAAAAAAAAAAAGAAUGAAAGAUGAAAAUAGUCUAAGUCAGAAGUUUGAACUAUGUUAGACCAGAUUUCUUAAAAAAAGGAUAUGUAGGCAGCCUCACGGUUCGGUCCAACCAAAUAAGAAUUCAAAAACAAAAAAAGAAAAAUCCAAAAAAAAAAAAAUCCCCAAUAGUUGAAAUUGGGGCAAAAAUUUUAUUUCACUUUUGAAAGAGUCGAUUCCAAGAGUUGUAAGUCCACAACCCUUCAUUUUAAGUCAACUUUGAGCCUUCAUGCCAACCCUAUCCAAAAACCUUCCAAAUAAAGAUCUCCCGAUAUGCCUUCAAGACUGCUAAGAGAAGCAUGCAAUGAGCAACAAUUGUCACGCGACAUAAAAUACUGUCAAGUUGCUCGCACAAGAAAGCAAAAUAAAAAAGGAAAAUGAAGAAGAAAAUGAGAGUCUUACUAGUGAAAACCCUCACGGGCAGUGUAUGCUGAAAGUAAGAAGAGAUAAAUAAAUGAGAGAGACUUGUUGGUGAAAACUCCUCGAGGCACCACUAGCCGAAAGUGAGUCGUGAAGCUAAUGCAAAGAAUUGGCAUAAACAAGCCCGACUUCAAAGGUCAUAAGAAUGGUAAAAGGGAGGAUCAAAUUAGUUCGGUAGAUCGGGCGUUAAGUCUAAAAUACAUGUCAUGAUUAUUAAAGCUGGUUAUUGAAAGAACAAAAAAGAAAAAAAGAAAAAAGAACUCUUCUUUCUGUCCUUCUGACAGAGGCAUUCCUUGUUAAUAUUUAUUUCUUUGCAUCAUUGUGUCCUUCACUCUGAAUCAAUUCUUAUUAAAACAAGCAAGAAAAGAUUUCAAAAUCUGCUAUCAGCUUUUCAGUUGCAAAGUAAAUUUGGCCAGCACACUCAGCUGUUACUAUCAGCAUGUCUUGAAGAUUCAUGAAAGGACUCCCACCAAAAGACUCUUGUCAGCCUGCUUGGCGCAAUCAAAGAUAACUCGUGAUUCUCUCUGACAGACAAAUUGCUUAAAAACGAAAAGUCAUUCAAGAUAUCAAGAAGGGUCACCUAAGAAAAGAUUUCCAAUCGGGACAAGGCUGAUUGAACCACAAAUACAAACGAUACUGGGUGUGAAACAACUAAGGUUUAUGCAGAGCAAAGUUCUCUUGAGACUGACUCAAGUUGAUUGAAGCAGAAGUCAAGAUGCCCAAGAUUCAAGGCCACAAACCGACCACCAUUUUCAAAACUGACAAAUUUUUCUUUGUUUGCAACAGGAACAAAGCUGUACAAGGAAAGUGGUUCAAAAAAAGAGAGAAAAAGACAAACAAAAAAAACAAAAAAAGAAAAGAAAGAAAAAGAAAAGAAGAGAAGAGCCGACAAAGGGAAAUUUCUCAAAUCUUCACCUUUAUUUGUUUCGCUAUUGUACGUAAAAUCUUGCCAUUGAUCUUCACAUUUUUUUCCUCCUAGGAUAAGAAGUCCUAGUCUGAUGGAUUUUCCUCCCAAUAGAAUUCCUAGUCUGAUGAAUCUUCUCCUAGGAUCAAAAUCUUAGUCUGAUAAUCUUUCUCCUCAGAUAAGAAACCUAGUCUGAUGAAUUUUCUCCUAGGAUCAAAAUCUUAGUCUGAUAAAUUUUUCUCAUAAGAUAGAAGAUCUAGUCUGAUGAAUUUUCUCCUAGGAUAAAAGUCUUAGUCGGAUGAAUAUUUUUCCUAAGAUACCAAAAAAAGAAGAUCCAGUCAAACGAAUUUUCUUCUAGGAUCAAAAUCUUAGUCAGAUGAAUUUUUCUCCUAAGAUAGAAAACCUAGUUUGAUGAAUUUUUUCCUAGGAUAAAAGUCUUAGUCGGAUGAAUCUUUCUCAUGAGACACCAAAAACAAAAAAGAAAAGAAAAAAAGGACCUAGUCUGAUGAAUUUUCUUGAAGGAUAAAUGUCUUAGUUUGAUGAAUUUUCUCCUAGGAUAAACAUCUUAGUCUGAUGAAUCUUUCUCCUAAGAUAGAAAACCUAGUCUGAUGAAUUUUCUCCUAGGAUAAACAUCUUAAUAUGAUGAAUCUUUCUCCUAAGAUAGAAAACCUAGUUUGAUGAACUUUCUCCUAAGACAGAAAUCUUAGUCGGAUGAAUCUUUCUCCUAAGAUACCCAAGAAAAGAAAAAAGGGACAUGGUCUGAUGAAUUUUCUCCUAGGAUAAAUGUCUUAGUCUGAUGAAUCUUUCUCCUAACAUAGAACACCUAAUCUGACGAAUUUUCUCCUAGGAUAAUAAUUAAAAAAUAAGAAAGGGAAGUAGUUGAAAAAGAGGGGGAAGUAUGGAUUUUUUUUUUAAAAAGAGAGAGUGAUAAAUUUUAGAUUUCUUGAAAUCAGGGGUCCUGCCUGGAGAAUAAGGUUAGUUUUUACUUUAGCCAAGCUUAAUUUAUAGUUUUCCGCAAGCUCAAUCACGUUUAGGAGACGCACAUCCUAGUCGAGUCAUUAAUUUUACUCUCAUUAUUGCAUCCUUCAUCAGCAACGCAAGUGAUUUCUAGUUUUGUUAGCACUCACCGAUGUUUCCAAUAUCAAACUGGGGUAGAAAAUUUCUUUUGUUUUGUAUGUUUUGUUGAAAUCAGGCAUCCACCUGGAGAACAAGGGAAGACAACUCAAGUUUCAAGGGAAAGCAGUUUCGAAGAAAAAUAGUUCAAGUUUCAAUGGAAAAUGGUUCAAGAUUCAAGGGAAAACAGUGUCAAGUAACAAGGGAAUUCAAUUCAAAAUGCAGUUCAGGUCGACAAUAAAAGAAGCUCGCAUCAAGAAUGCGAGUUAGCAGUCCGAUAUGAUCAACAAAAGUUAGUCACAAUCCAGAAUAAAAAGAAUUAUAAACAACAAAAAGAAAGACAAGAAGUGAAUCCAAAUGCAGAAGUUAAUGAAAGAUUUGAGCUUUUCAAGACAGGGCUGAGGUCACAAGCUCUGCAUGUCCCGUCUUGGUUUGAAAAGUAUGAAGAAGAUUGAACCAACACCUGCAGCUAACAAACAUCAAGAUUCAGAUCAGUGUCCGCAUGAAGAACCAAACAAGACUCAAGAUUAAGCUUCAGUCGAAUCAUAGAUAGGAAUUUUGUAACUCGUAGAUGAUAGACUUAGUUAGUCUUUUUAAUUUUUGUUUAUGUAAUAACAAGACUGCGGAUCGGAACCUCGAAAGGCACCUCGCUCGGCUCUGAACCUCGAUACUCCAUCACCUCAUUCAAUUUUGAACUACACGUGAUCUGAUUCCUUUAUAGCCAAGAAUAUGUAGGCAGCUAAGAUACCAGGGUUCGGUCACACUCCUCCUUUCUCAGUUUUAGUCUCUCCCAAAUAAGGGUCGGGUCAAAAUCUGUCUAGUCGUUUUUUGUCUCAAAAUACUUCGUCUUUCCAGUUAAAAAGUGGCAGCUGUAGACAUGUAAUUUUUGACCCACCCCAAGAUUUUUCAUAUUUUAGCAUGUAAAUAUUUAAUCUAGGCUAAUAUAGC
rnacentral:lncRNA from 1 species